rnacentral:misc_RNA from 1 species
GCAAAGCACACUGAAAGGAGUAGCAAUAAAUAUUGGGGUAUUAUUAGUGGAAGUGAUUCUACUAAAAAUAGCCUUGCAAUGAAUGUCAUAAAUUUCUUAAUUGCUUCUUGUUGCUGGUCGAAUGUGCAUAUUGUUCCUCCACAUGGGGCUGUCUUUGAGGUAAGGGUGGCUGAUGGUUAUGGAGCGCGGUGGUCUAAGGAUGGAGCUAAGUUCAUUGGAUUUCUUGAGCCAUAUAUGGAAGAUGGUUACUCAAAGGGAUGGAAGCAUUAAAUAUCUUGGUUACAC